GCCAAAUUAAAGAAGGAUGUGAAGGUUAGGCUAAGAAGUGUGAUGAGCUUUAUUUAGGUAAUAGGCAAUGAGGAGAAAUUGAAACAUGAAGGAACAUAAUUUGAGGUGUGAUUAUUUGAGUUUUUAAAAUAUUAUCACUGUGCAUCAGAAUGGGUUAGGGAAGGCUUAAAUCCUGGAUGCUGGCUCAGCACCUAUUAGAGCAAUUAAAAUGAGAAAUGAUGCAGACUAAACUAGAAUUUCAGGUAAAAAUGGGAAAAAUAGGCGUUAAAAAAUGGUAUAAACGUUAAAAAACUACACUUGACUGAGUUAGAAUAUGGAGGAAAAGGAAGUAUGGAGAUCAAAAGAAAACAUCAGGAUUUGGGAGCUUGGACACAGGGGAAUGACAACGUAAAGGGAUUAUUUCAAAGAUAAUUUGGCAUAGACACUUCUAGACUCUCCUCUUCAUCUGUGUGUGGGUUUUGCUUUUCCAUCUUUUAUGGAGUAUGAUUUACUUUCAAAUCGCCUCUGAAGAAACCUAUUAGUCAGUCAACUGCAGAAAAACUUCUCCAUAAUAUCUACCUGGAAUAUAUCUUGCUUCCAUUCACCUUCUUCCUUUGUCAAUGACUCUCAGGAGGAAUACAGUCUUUGUCAGUCAUAAAGGAAGGAAGAGUCAAUGACAUAGGAUCCCAAACACGGCUAAAAUGUCUCAUAUCUAAUGCUGUACUCCCCCUCUUAACCAAAAUUUGUGUCAGGAAAAGGCACAAAACUCCACCAAAGGAUUACGGUACCUUAAUCCAAGGAAGUUGUAUAGAGGCUAGUAUUUAAAAUUGUCAUUUUGAUAGGCCCCACUAGUGGAUUUUAUCCCCUGUUAGGUUGGACAAUCCUCAGUAUAUACACCUUACUACACAAAGUGAAAAAUUAUGUGGUACACAAGACAGAAGAAAAGCCAAACAUACAAGAAACAAAGCAUUCAACAGAAGAUUCAGAGAUGACCCAGAUAUUGAAACUAAAUGGAAAUGCCAAUUCUCAAGCUCAUAUGUAAUUUCAACUGGAUUUUCAAAUGCAAAAUAAGUUGAAUCUCUACCUUAUGCCAUAUAUAAAAAUUAACCCCAAAUGGACUGAAAACAUAAAUAUAAGCAUGAAUAUUAACACUUUUGGAAGAAAUCAUGGGGUAAAUCUUCAUAACCCUGGAUUUGGCAACGAAUUCUUAGUUAUGAUAUCAAUAACAUAAAUAUGGAUAAAUUGGAUUUCAUCAAAAUUAAAAGCUUGUAUGUACCAAAAAUGUUAUCAAAGAAGUAAAAUGACAAUCUAGAAUGGAGGAGAAAAUAUUUGUGAAUCAUAUCUC
rnacentral:lncRNA from 1 species